UUGGUUCAGGGACUUGUCAUCAUUGUGGUACUCCACUGGUUUAGGCUCAGCUUGUGUCCCUCACCACUAGUUCUCAUGAUCCAUCCUCUACUGCAACCACUCUUACUCUAGGUACUUCUACUGCUUUCCAUGUUCGGUCUGCUAGUCCUUUAUGGAUUCUAGAUUCUGGGGUUAAUGAUCAUAUGACAGAUGAGUUUUCCUUUCUUUCGUCUCUAGUCCCUAUUACUAUUGCCCAAUCUGUUUUCUUGCUGAUGGUUCUUCAUCCUCUAUUCGUCAUAAGGGUGUGGUGUCUUCAUCUCCUCACAUUACUUUAUCUUCUGUUUUACAUGUCCUCAAUUUUGCAUAUAAUCUCUUAUCUGUUAGUCAUCUUGCCGAAACCUUUAAUUGUUCUGUCAUCUUCUUAUCCUCUUCUUAUUUUUUAAAGGACCUGAGUUCAAAGAGGAUUUUUGACAAGGGUUAUGAGCGUGAUGGGCUUGACUACUUUAGGAAUCCAUCGGACGGACUUUUUUUUUAGUUUUUUGGUGUCUGUUUUGUCUACUUCUAUAUCUUGUUCCUGUACUAUUUAGAUUUUCAAAUUUAUGGCAUGCACGUAUGGGUCACGUCAAUUUUCAAUAUUUAUGUCGACUUUUUUCUUUAUUAAAUAAAGCUUGCAAAGAUUCUAGAUUUCACUGUGUGGUUUUUGAGUUAUCUAAACAUACGCGUACUAGCUACGUCUCUCAUAUGAUCCAUGCCCCCAGUGCUUUUGAUCUUACCCAUUCUGAUGUUUGGGUUCCUUCUUCUAUGACUGCUUUUUCUGGUCAUAGAUAUUAUAUCUUUAUUGAUGAUCACACUGGGUGCACUUGGGUUUAUUAGCUUCGUCAAAGUCUGACACGUUUUCCAUUUUUGUUUAGUUUUUGGAAAUUGUUAAAACUUAGUUUCGUGCAGUUGCUAGGAACAUUCGUUCUGAUAAUGGUGGGUAAUACAGUUCUAAUGAAUUUCGUUCCCAUCUUAAUUAGAUUGGUAUUCUUCAACAACUUACUUGCCCUCAUCUGUCAUGUCCUGCAUCUUUUGAAAUUUUUUGUCCCAUGUGAUGUGUCUGAGCUUCGUAGGUGACAAGUCAUUCGAGCUGAGCCUGCUUGUGAACUGAUUUGAACCUAGCUCAAACAGAAAUAUUCAAGCCCAAUUUUGAGCUUUAACUAAGCUCAAUCACGCUCUUUUCUCAGAGAACCAAGCGCGAAUACCUCAUACUUGGCUUAGCACACGUCAUUUAUUUGCAGGCCUAGUGCUAGCUCUGAAUAAUGUUAAUUCCUUGAAAACUGGUUCAAGAAAGAUACCUAGGUUAGCUAUGUUGGACACUUGGACCAAGUAUUAUUGUUUUAAAUUUAUUGAUAACUUGUUAAUAGAUUCUUUUUAGUAUUACUUUGCUUGGAAUCUUUUGUUAUUUCCUUCUCGUUGAGUGUACGAGUAAUCUUUUGAGUGCAGGUACGUUUAAGCUUUCUCUGCAGUUCUCAGAAGAUUACCCGAACAAGCCACCAACGGUCCGUUUGUGUCACGGAUGUUCCAUCCAAAAAUCUCCGGAAUCAAUCAGUCUAUGCAGACGUGAGUAUAUGCUUGGAUAUUUUACAGAAUCAGUGGAGUCCUAUAUAUGAUGUGGCAGCUAUACUCACUUCUAUACAGUCACUGCUUUGUGAUCCAAACCCGAAUUCCCCCGCAAAUUCUGAAGCAGCUCAUAUGUUCAGGGAAAAAAAACCUGAAUUGUGGGGCAGAGCUGGACUGCUGACUAAAAGUCCAAUUAAAAGCAUCACCCCCGCCCACCAAACCAAAAAUAAAGUCAGGAAGUGGUGGUAGUGGUGGCUUCUGCAAACCUUUGUGCUUAAUUAUGUAACAUGCUUUGUGUGUAUUGCUUUUAGAGAAUUGCUUUGAAGGAGUUGUUUCUGCUUUUAGAAAGCUCUGGUUGAAGUCUUGAUACUCCACUCCUGAUUCUUCUUUUUCAUCAAGUUUCAUGUGUCCAUCCAGUUUGUAGCCAUUUGUAUAGGAAGUAUUGUUGUGUCCUCUUGAACCAUUGGCAGUGGACUUAGUACUUUGCUUGGGGGCAAUCAGAAAGAGCUUUUCUAGUGUAAUGAUGAUUUAAACAGUAUUUGAUCAAUAAGAGAGCUUUUCUCCAAUGAUGAGGUUUGAAGAUUGCUAUUUCUAAA